rnacentral:rRNA from 1 species
UACGGGGGGGGCAAGCGUUGUUCGGAAUUACUGGGCGUAAAGGGCUCGUAGGUGGCCAACUAAGUCAGACGUGAAAUCCCCAGGCUCAACUUGGGAACUGCGUCUGAUACUGGAUGGCUUGAAUCCGGGAGAGGGAUGCAGAAUUCCAGGUGUAGCGGUGAAAUGCGUAGAUAUCGUAAGGAAGACCAGUGGCGAAGGCGGGUCUCUGGACAGUUCCUGACGCUGAGGCACGAAGGUCAGGGGAGCAAACGGGG